CAAUAGCGUAUAUUAAAGUUGUUGCGGUUAAAAAGCUCGUAGUUGGAUUUCUGCUGAGGAUGACCGGUCCGCCCUCCGGGUGAGUAUCUGGCUCAGCCUUGGCAUCUUCCUGAAGAACGUAACUGCACUUGACUGUGUGGUGCGGUAUUUAGGACAUUUACUUUGAGGAAAUUAGAGUGUUUCAAGCAAGCGCACGCCUUGAAUACAUUAGCAUGGAAUAAUAAGAUAGGACCUCGGUUCUAUUUUGUUGGUUUCUAGAGCUGAGGUAAUGAUUGAUAGGGAUAGUUGGGGGCAUUCGUAUUUAACUGUCAGAGGUGAAAUUCUUGGACUUGUUAAAGACGGACUACUGCGAAAGCAUUUGCCAAGGAUGUUUUCAUUGA
rnacentral:rRNA from 1 species